GUCCGGGGCAAGCGUUGUCCGGAUUUAUUGGGCGUAAAGAGCGUGUAGGCGGCCGCACAGGUCCGUUGUGAAAACUGGAGGCUUAACCUUCAGACGUCGAUGGAAACCGUGCGGCUAGAGUCCGGAAGAGGAGAAUGGAAUUCCUGGUGUAGCGGUGAAAUGCGCAGAUAUCAGGAAGAACACCCGUGGCUAAGGCGGUUCUCUAGUACGGUACUGACGCUGAGACGCGAAAGCGUGGGGAGCGAACAGGAUUAGAUACCCUGGUAGUCCACGCCGUAAACGAUGGGUGCUAGGUGUGGGGGGUGUCGACUCCCCCCGUGCCGAAGCUAACGCAUUAAGCACCCCGCCUGGGGAGUACGGCCGCAAGGCUA
rnacentral:rRNA from 1 species